GACAGGGUCAUGUUUACCACUGUGUUACAUCGCCUUUCCUUUUAACAACGUUUAAUAAAUGUUUGGGAACUGAGGACACUAAUUGUUGAACCUUUGUAGGUGGAAUUCUUUCCCAUCCUUGCUUGAUGUGCAGCUUCAGCUAUUCAACAGUCCGGGGUCUCCGUUGUUGUAUUUUACGCUUCAUAAUGCGGCACACAUUUUCAAUGGGAGACAGGUCUGGACUACAGGCAGGCCAGUCUCGUACCCGCACUCCUUAACUACGAAGCCAAGCUGUUGUAACGUGCAGAAUGUGGUUUGGCAUUGUCUUGCUGAAAUAAGCAGGGGUAUCCAUGAAAAAGACGUUGCUUGCAUGGCAGCAUAUGUUUCUCCAAAACCCGUAUGUACCUUUCAGCAUUAAUGGUGCCAUCACAGAGGUGUAAGUUACCCAUGCCAUUGGCACUAAGACAGCCCCAUACCAUCACAGAGGUGUAAGUUACCCAUGCCAUUGGCACUAAGACAGCCCCAUACCAUCACAGAUGUAUAGGUUACCCAUGCCAUUGGCACUAAGACGGCCCCAUACCAUCACAGAUGUGUAAGUUACCCAUGCCAUUGGCACUAAGACAGCCCCAUACCAUCACAGAGGUGUAAGUUACCCAUGCCAUUGGCACUAAGACAGCCCCAUACCAUCACAGAGGUGUAAGUUACCCAUGCCAUUGGCACUAAGACAGCCCCAUACCAUCACAGAUGUAUAGGUUACCCAUGCCAUUGGCACUAAGACGGCCCCAUACCAUCACAGAUGUGUAAGUUACCCAUGCCAUUGGCACUAAGACAGCCCCAUACCAUCACAGAGGUGUAAGUUACCCAUGCCAUUGGCACUAAGACAGCCCCAUACCAUCACAGAGGUGUAAGUUACCCAUGCCAUUGGCACUAAGACAGCCCCAUACCAUCACAGAGGUGUAAGUUACCCAUGCCAUUGGCACUAAGACAGCCCCAUACCAUCACAGAUGUAAGUUACCCAUGCCAUUGGCACUAAGACGGCCCCAUACCAUCACAGAUGUAUAGGUUACCCAUGCCAUUGGCACUAAGACAGCCCCAUACCAUCACAGAUGUAUAGGUUACCCAUGCCAUUGGCACUAAGACGGCCCCAUACCAUCACAGAUGCUGACUUUUGAACUUUGAGUCCAUAACAGUCCGGAUGGUUCUUUUCCUCUUUGGCCUGGAGGACACGACAUCCACAAUUUCCAAAAACAAUUUGAAAUGUGGACUCGUCAGACCACAGAACACUUUUCCACUUUACAUCAGUCCAUCUUAGAUGAGCUCGGGCCCAGAGAAGCCAGCAGCGUUUCUGGGUGUUGUUGAUAAAUGGCUUUUGCUUUGCAUAGUAGUUUUAAGUUGCACUUACGGAUGUAGCACCGAACUGUAUUUACUGACAGUGGUUUUCUGAGGUGUUCCUGAGCCCAUGUGCUGAUGUCUUACACACUGAUGUCAGUGUUUGAUGCAGCGCUGCCUGAGGGAUGGAAGGUCACGGGCAUUCAGUGUUGGUUUUCGGCCUUGCCGCUUACAUGCAGUGAUUUCUCCAGAUUCUCUGAACUUUUUGAUAUUAUGGACCGUAGAUGAUGAAAUCCCUAAAUUCCUUGCAAUUGUAUGUUGAGGAACAUUGUCCUUAAACUGUUUGACUAUUUUCUCAUGCACUUGUUCACAAAGAGGUGAACCUCGCCCCAUCUUUGCUUGUGAAUGACUGAGCAAUUCAGGGAAGCUCCUUUUAUACCCAAGCAUGGCACACACCUUUCCCAAUUAGCCUGUUCACCUGUGUUAUGUCCCAAACAGGUGUUUGAUGAGCAUUCCUCAACUUUCUCAGUCUUUUUUGCCAC